rnacentral:rRNA from 1 species
CCUACGGGCGGCAGCAGUGGGGGAUAUUGGACAAUGGGGGGAACCCUGAUCCAGCGACGCCGCGUGAGUGAAGAAGUAUUUCGGUAUGUAAAGCUCUGUCAGCAGGGAAGAAAGAAAUGACGGUACCUGACCAAUAAGCCCCGGCUAACUACGUGCCAGCAGCCGCGGUAAUACGUAGGGGGCAAGCGUUAUCCGGAAUUACUGGGUGUAAAGGGAGCGUAGACGGUUAAGUAAGUCUGGAGUGAAAGGCCGGGGCCCAACCCCGGGACUGCUCUGGAAACUAUUGAACUUGAGUGCAGGGGAGGUAAGCGGAAUUCCUAGUGUAGCGGUGAAAUGCGUAGAUAUUAGGAGGAACACCAGUGGCGAAGGCGGCUUACUGGACUGUAACUGACGUUGAGGCUCGAAAGCGUGGGGAGCAAACAGGAUUAGAUACCCCUGUAGUC